UGUGCUAUGUUUGUUUGGGGUGUUAGGGUAGUUUUAGACCCCUUGUGCAUAUAUAUGUGUCUAUGCUAGUUGGGAGUAGUUGAUAUGCAUGUUUGUAGGUUUUUGGGCAAAGUUUGCAUGAAACAGAGCAGGGUUCUGUCCUUCGGGCAAAACCAGGUUCGGCCGCCGAAGGAAGGUUCGGCCGCCGAACCCCUUGUGGAGGCAGUUUCGGCUGCCAAAGGUUGCCCCCGAAAGCUAGGCUUUCGGUUUAGAAAGAGACUUU
rnacentral:lncRNA from 1 species